GAUGAAGAACGCAGUGAAAUGCGAUAAGUAAUGUGAAUUGCAGAAUUCAGUGAAUCACCGAAUCUUUGAACGCACCUUGCGCCCUUUGGCCAUUCCGAAGGGCACGCCUGUUUGAGUAUCAUGAACACCUCAACUCUUCAUGGUUUUCCAUGAUGAGCUUGGACUUUGGGGGUCUUGCUGGCCUGUGGGUCGGCUCCUCUCAAAUGAAUCAGCUUGCCGGUUUUUGGUGGGCAUCACAGGUGUGAUAACUAUCUACGCUUGUGGUUUUCCACCAGGGUAACCUUCAGCAGUGGAGGUUCACUGGAGCUUACAAAUGUCUCUCCUCUGUGAGGACAGCCCUUUGAAUGUUUGAUCUCAAAUCAGGUAGGACUACCCGCUGAACUUAAGCAUAUCAAUAAGCGGAGGA
rnacentral:misc_RNA from 1 species